ensembl:snRNA U1 U1 spliceosomal RNA
AUACUUACCUGGCAGGGGAAACACUAUGAUCAGGAAGGUGGUUUUCCCAGGACGAGGCACAUCCAUUGCACUGUGAGAUGUGCUGGCCCCAGCGAUUUUCCCCAAAUGCGGGAAACUCCACUGCAUAAUUUGUGGUAAUGGGGGACUGCGUUAGUGCUCUCCCCUG